UACGUAGGGGGCAAGCGUUGUCCGGAUUUACUGGGCGUAAAGAGCGCGUAGGCGGAAGCUUAAGUGUGGCCUGAAAGCCCCCGGCUCAACCGGGGAGGGUGGCUGCAAACUGGGCUUCUUGAGGGCGAUAGAGGAAGGUGGAAUUCCGGGUGUAGCGGUGAAAUGCGCAGAUAUCAGGAGGAACACCGGUGGCGAAGGCGGUUCUCUGGGAAUAUCCUGACGCUGAGGAGCGAAAGUGUGGGGAGCGAACAGG
rnacentral:rRNA from 1 species